AUUGAACGCUGGCGGCAGGCCUAACACAUGCAAGUCGGGCGGAUGAAGAGAGCUUGCUCUCUGAUUUAGCGGCGGACGGGUGAGUAAUGCCUAGGAAUCUGCCUGGUAGUGGGGGAUAACGUUCCGAAAGGAACGCUAAUACCGCGUAUGUCCUACGGGAGAAAGCAGGGGACCUUCGGGCCGUGCGCUAUCAGAUGAGCCCAGUGGGGAUUAGCGCAGGUGGUGAGGUUAUGGCUCACCAAGGCGACGAUCUGUAACUGGUCUGAGAGGAUGAUCAGUCACACUGGAACUGAGAAACGGUCCAGACUGCUACGGGAGGCAGCAAUCGGGAAUAUUUGACAAUGGGCGAAAGCCUGAUCCAGCCAUGCCGCGUGUGUGAAGAAGGUCUUCGGAUUGUAAAGCACUUUAAGUUGGGAGGAAGGGCAGUAAGUUAAUACCUUGCUGUUUUGACGUUACCGACAGAAUAAGCACCGGCUAACUUCGUGCCAGCCGCCGCCGUAAGAC
rnacentral:rRNA from 1 species